AUUGAACGCUGGCGGCAUGCUUUACACAUGCAAGUCGAACGGCAGCGCGGGCUUCGGCCUGGCGGCGAGUGGCGAACGGGUGAGUAAUGCAUCGGAACGUGCCCAGUAGUGGGGGAUAGCCCGGCGAAAGCCGGAUUAAUACCGCAUACGACCUGAGGGUGAAAGCGGGGGACCGAAAGGCCUCGCGCUAUUGGAGCGGCCGAUGUCGGAUUAGCUUGUUGGUGGGGUAAAGGCUUACCAAGGCGACGAUCCGUAGCUGGUCUGAGAGGACGACCAGCCACACUGGGACUGAGACACGGCCCAGACUCCUACGGGAGGCAGCAGUGGGGAAUUUUGGACAAUGGGGGCAACCCUGAUCCAGCCAUGCCGCGUGCGGGAAGAAGGCCUUCGGGUUGUAAACCGCUUUUGUUCGGGAAGAAAUCCUCUGGGCUAAUACCCCGGGGGGAUGACGGUACCGGAAGAAUAAGCACCGGCUAACUACGUG
rnacentral:rRNA from 1 species